rnacentral:rRNA from 1 species
ACGGCGAGUGAAGCGGCAACAGCUCAAAUUUGAAAUCUGGCCUCGGCCCGAGUUGUAAUUUGCAGAGGAUGCUUCUGGCGCGGUGCCUUCCGAGUUCCCUGGAACGGGACGCCACAGAGGGUGAGAGCCCCGUAUGGUCGGACACCAAGCCUGUGUGAAGCUCCUUCGACGAGUCGAGUAGUUUGGGAAUGCUGCUCUAAAUGGGAGGUAAAUCUCUUCUAAAGCUAAAUACCGGCCAGAGACCGAUAGCGCACAAGUAGAGUGAUCGAAAGAUGAAAAGCACCUUGAAAAGGGGGUUAAAUAGUACGUGAAAUUGUUGAAAGGGAAGCACUUAUGACCAGACUUGGGCCGGGCGGCUCAUCAGGGGUUCUCCCCUGUGCACUCCGCCCGGCACAGGCCAGCAUCGGUUCUCGUGGGGGGAUAAGACCGUCAGGAACGUAGCACCCUCCGGGGUGUGUUAUAGCCUGGCGGACGAUACCCCCGUGGGGACCGAGGUCCGCGCUCCGCAAGGAUGCUGGCGUAAUGGUCAUCAGUGACCCGUCUU